AUGUUAGAAAGAAGUUUUCUACUGUGAGAAUAGUUAAAUACUGGAAGAAGCUUUCCAGAGAGACUGCAAAGUCAUACAAAACCUGAAAACUUCCUGCAAAUGACCCUGCUCUGAGCAGAAGGUUGGAUUAGAUGAUUAGAUUCUGUGAUCUCCUGCCUUGGCUGUUCUGUGUGAGCCUGUGGUUUUUGUUCUUCUCAACAGAAGCAUUACAAUAGGCAUUGUCUGAAGGCACUAUCUGUGGUUAAAGCUGAGUGUUUUGUUUGUAAUAUUUCUUCUUCCUUGCAUGUUUCCAGAGGCUUAUUGUGUUAUUUUCCAAAUUUAAUCCUAGUGUAAAUGAGUCAAUUAUUUUCACGUCCUCUUUGCUCUACUUGAUUCUCAAAAUGAUUUCAUGAGCCUAUUAAUAAUUGUGCAAUACACAAAUUAAAGCUUUUCACACCCUGAACUUUGCCUGACAUAGCCCUUGGUUCUACUUUCAGUAGUGCACCCUUAAAACCUGUGGAUCGCACACAAUUUGGGGUUAGCUGUGCUUGCAAAAGAUGAGCUUGGAUCUCUCAAACACAACAGAGCUUCUUGGUUAAAGGUCAAGGUAGAUUCAGGAUAUUACUGUAUGUAUGUUUGUUAACCAUGGUACAGCUCUGAGUAAACAGCUUAUUCUUUAAGCUCCUGUCCUUGUGUGUUUCCAACAUUAGAGUCAUAUAAGGGCAUUGGGGUUGGUGCACCAAAUACUAAGCUAAUUCUGGUGGAGCAUCCUCAUGCCAUCUUGUGUACAAUUUUUAAACUGCAUCUUGAGUGUUGCUUUCGUACAUAACUCCAAAUUGAAUGAAAGAGAUGAGGGCUGACUUACUAAAAAGGAGGAGACUUCUGGGAGGAGUCCCGAGAGACAAGGGUGGAAAUACAGUUUUCUCUGGAGUAUGGCCAGAGAUUUUAUUUUGAAUAUCAUACUGUGCAAACUGUGACUUACAUGUGACAAGCGAAUAGUCAAGACCUAACUUAUAUUAAUGAUUUACUGCUGUCUCAUAAAGUAAAAAAAAAAAUAAAUAAAUAAAAAAAAAAUAAAAAAAAUUGUGUAUAUCUCAAAACAUGUUUAAGUCUUGCAAACAUGUGCAGCAUCCUCCCCAUCCUUGCUUUGUAUUGCUCCUUAUAACAUGUUCCAUACUCCAUCCAGUUUGUCAUUAAAUCAAGAAAAAUGCUCAUUCAGUGUACUGCAUUUAAACCAUCACCAAAGCAGACUUCUGUAAAACAGUCAACUUCUUACCGGAGGCUUGCUAACUGCUAGUUGGCUUUGGAUACUUCUUGAUUUUAUCCAGCCAUCUCAUGUUAUUUCAGAAGCUUAUCAACAGGAACUAGUUUUCACCCAGCUCUCAACUCGUAUGCAUUUCUGAACAGACUUACAUGUUAAAUUUAAAUGUUUCUAAUCUGAUAAUCUCUUCAUCAAACCUUAAUUUGCAAAACCUAGACACAAUAUGUCUGUCUCUGUGAGUUAAUCUUCUGUAUCUCCCUGUUAUCAUCUGUAUUUUCAGUGUAUGUUUUUGCUCUCUAAGGUACAG
ensembl:lncRNA